rnacentral:sRNA from 1 species
CAGGGCUGCAACAAAGAGGUAAAUGCUCGGGUCCCAUCACCGAGAGUCGGGAAAACGUUGUGUUGCGGAAUUUGAAUUUUUGUGGAUUCAAUGCAACGCCCACUAUCAAACAAAAGGGUUUACUCCAUCAGUUCCCGAUAUGCCAAAAUCAUGCAGGCAACCCCAGUAACACAACCAUCUCUGCGCCAAACAGCUUACAACAACUUCAUUGAUUUUCCGUGACAUCACUGAGGCCUUGACCCCAGUAGUUUACAUUUGUGAGAAGGGGUUUUGGGCAAAACACGAAUUUCAAAUUUCUUCGCAAAUUUCUAAACAAUUUCCAACUUUCCCCACAAAUAUAAAGCCAUUGCAGUGAACUAUUAAAAUUGUUGAAGCGAGUUCAGUUUCCGCAUUUUACAACCUGAGGGGAUUGACACCGCAGACAUCGUUCUAACCCGCUAAUACAGCCCACUACUGGUCAUCACCCCCUGACUUGUACAUGGUCCUUCAAGAGCCGUGAAAGAAGUGAAGGAAGAUUUUUUUUUGAAUUAGAUCCGCCGCUAAAUACAUAUUACCCUUGGAAACUAAUUCUCGUUUGACAUGGAUGAGAGGAUUCAACGCAAUGCCCACUAUCAAACAAAAGGGUUUACUCCAUCAGUUCCCGAUAUGCCAA